UCGUCAGCUCGUGGUCGUGAGAUUUUGGGUUAAGUCCCGCAACGAGCGCAACCCUUGUCUCUAGUUAUCUAGCAGUUCGGCUGAGUACUCUAGAGAGACUGCCGGUGAUAAACCGGAGGGAAGGUGGGGAUGACGUCAAGUCAUCAUGGCCCUUAUGGGCAGGGCUACACACGUGCUACAAUGGACGGUACAGAGGGUUGCCAACCCGCGAGGGGGAGCCAAUCCCACAAAGCCGUUCGUAGUCCGGUUGCAGCCUGCAACUCGCUGCAUGAAGUCGGAUCGCUAGUAAUCGCAUAUAAGCAGGCUGCGGUG
rnacentral:rRNA from 1 species